AUGUUGCUAAAGCUUUGCUGGGAGUUUCUUGCCCCAACCAAUGAGUGGUCCUGCCAGUUUUCACAAUGGCACCCCUCUGGCUUGCAAAUCAAUGACAUUGAACCAUUCUGUCAAGACGAGAUUGCUCUAUAUAAACAAUGUGCUGAAAGAAGGGAUAAGGAGAUAAGAAAUCGGCUUCAAGAUAGUGAAUUCAAAUUGGGUUCAUCAAUGCCUUUAGAUGCAGCCAAGGAGAGGACUACCCAACUUGAGGCAGAAGUUACAUCAUUGGAGAGGCGCUUGAUUCUUGCUAGUGGAGUUGAGGGCAUUGAAGGUUUCCGCCAAAGAUGGAGCUUGCACGGCCGCCUUACGGACUCCAAAAAAAGGUUGGAAUUUUUAAAGCGCGGCAUAGAUGGAAGAAAACUAUGA